GUGUUCUUGCUGACGCGCUUCUUGAAUGUGUCAGCAAAAGGAGAGAACUUCUCGUACGUGGGCGCAGGUUAAAGAAACAACCGUCCUCACAGAACCGUCUCCCUGCACUCCCAGGCUUGCCUCUCUGUUGGGAUCAACCCAAGGUUCCUGUGACCGCUGAAACGCUGAAGGCUGCAUCGCUGAGCUCAGGCAGAGAAAGCUUCAGAGGCUGCCUGCACAUCUGCCCUUCAAGCACCUGGCUACUUCCUCCCUGAGGCCGCGGGUUCCACCUUGAGGGUCACGACUUCUCGCUGCCCUCGUGUUCACCAAGCCUCCAGACACUUCUAUGGCUCCAUACCGCCUGCUCUCUGGAAGGAGCCAUGCACCAGGGACGGCGCCGAGGGCCGGCAGCACACAGGACCCACUGGCCAGCUGCGCCCAGGAUCUCAACGCUGCAACACGCCCGUUACCAUGCCUGAAGCGCCAAGCAGGGCAGAUGCUGAGGUGCCGAGUCAGAGAGGCCUGGGGGGCACUCUCCCUCCAAGCUGCCAGACGGGUCACUUAACCUCUCUGAACUUCAGUUUCCUUAAUUACACAGUAGGAAAUAGUAUCAUGGUGCCACAUAACAAAUGGUAGUGAUGUGUGUAUAAAAUGGUAUAGCGGAGCGAGAUUACCCAUGCAAUCGCUCAGCAUCAUAACCGACACCAGGACGUUCUCAGCAAGUGUGAGUUACUAUCAUUCGCUGACCCAGGCCGCUGAGCCACUGAAGGUGUGAGGCGGGAGAGAAUGAAG